rnacentral:lncRNA from 1 species
AGCAGCAGCAGCCGCAAGCAUCGGUGCGGUCGGAAAGAGCAUCGCUAGAACUCCAAAAUCCGACGGCGGGAUGGGCCACUUGGGCCAGCCACCCGGUCUUUCCCGAAAAGAUGAAUCCAAGGGUGGAAAGCCCCCAAUCUGACCACGACUCCACCCCUGGAAGAUCCCUGCCUCUAUUCUGCCAAAGGACCCUCGAGACCCGAAGUCGAGAGGAUUUCCUGGAUCGGAGACUCCAGGAGAUGAACCGGCGGAUCGAAGAACUCUACCAUGCUCCCCCCGC